rnacentral:rRNA from 1 species
CCUACGGGGGGCAGCAGUGAGGAAUAUUGGUCAAUGGACGAGAGUCUGAACCAGCCAAGUAGCGUGAAGGAUGACUGCCCUAUGGGUUGUAAACUUCUUUUAUAAAGGAAUAAAACGAGGCACGUGUGCCUUUUUGCAUGUACUUUAUGAAUAAGGAUCGGCUAACUCCGUGCCAGCAGCCGCGGUAAUACGGAGGAUCCGAGCGUUAUCCGGAUUUAUUGGGUUUAAAGGGAGCGUAGAUGGGUUGUUAAGUCAGUUGUGAAAGUUUGCGGCUCAACCGUAAAAUUGCAAUUGAUAAUGGCAGUCGUGAGUACAGUUGAGGUAGGCGGAAUUCGUGGUGUAGCGGUGAAAUGCUUAGAUAUCACGAAGAACCCCGAUUGCGAAGGCAGCUUACUAAACUGUGACUGACAUUGAUGCUCGAAAGUGUGGGUAUCAAACAGGAUUAGAUACCCCAGUAGUC